GCUGCCACAAUAUUUACGCUACGCAGCAGACGAAGCUACAUGUGGCUGCAUGCAAAUGUUAGUGUACAGCAAUUCCGUAGUGCGGGCUCGCUUGCUUCAGCCUGACUGUGCUACAUGGUGCGCACCAGCUCUUUUCUGCACAGAUUGUAGGCAAAUCCAGAUUGUGCACUUUGUAGCACUGAAUAGGAAGCUCACAUCUAGCCAGGAGCCGCUGGAAGUGAGCGUGCUUCCCAACUGCUAUUUGUCGCGAAGCAUGGGCAGGCAUAGCAUACGUGUGGUCUGCCUUUAAGUUUCGAUUUUAAGCUCCGAGUAGUUCCAGGCUAGUUAAGUGUUCCAGACUAAUAAAAUUUUGCGAUAACUUAUGGCUACGACACCGUGAUAAGCAGUGCAGGCCCCGCAGGGGCGUCUGCGUCAGCAGGCGUUUGGUGUGUUGCGACACCACGGACCCGAGCACAUGAGGGUUGGACCCUCUCGUAUGGAGUCGUGCAUGGCUUAGCCGUGCCUGGGAAAGGGGAAUCUGCGGGUUUGAGCCGAUGCCAGGUGUCCGGACCUUUAAGCCCCCCCCCCGGCGGAGGAAACACACCUCUUUGGCCUCUGCUUCACAUAGACAGUGUUUCCAGGUUGACCCAACUGCAGGAAAUCGGCAGUGUUCUUUUCCUGUCCUUCUCUUCAAUCUUCAUCUUUCUCUCUCAAUUUCAAUCUUUCCUGUCUUCUACUCACUUCCUUUUACUUCCGAUUUUCUGGGCAGCAAGGGUUAACCUUGUGUAAUAUAUCCAGUCUUGGGUAUAUAUACAUUAGUUUAUAGAGGCGAUGCAUGGCUGGCAUCUGCAGUUAUUCUUCCAACCUAGUAGAGUCCCCUCAUCGGGCUUGGUGGUGGGUGGCUACCCUUGCCGCCGAAUUUUCCAAGGCUUACAAGGCAAACGCUCCCCCCCCCCCCCCCCUCCUUCAAGAUCGCCCCCUAAAAAGAGAGUUUUUUGUUAAACAAAAUGAAGACACCUUCCCAAAGUACCAUAUCUUUCACAGUGAAGGCAACACAACAGUAAGAAAACUGUCACCUUUCCUAGUACGGAAAUACCUAGCAAACACGGUUGGACUUGGCUACAAAGCCUCGAAAUGGCAAGCGGUGACCGCCUCCUAAAAUUGACAAAGAAAUAUUAAGUUGAAGAGCUCGCUGAACUUGCCAGUAUCUGUGACAUUAGCAUGACAAUCUUUGCACAUUGCUCGCUCAACACAAGCAGGGGUCACCAACACCUCUGGUUUGGUGACCUCAAAGGUCUCGUCUCCCGAGGCGAGACCUUCAAGGUGAACGCAUCGCUUGCAAGAGUGGAUGUCCAGCCCCGCAAGAGGCGAUGGACAUGAUUUCCAGUCAAACAGAGCCACCAGUGCCCAAGAAGCAUCGAGAAUCUCUCGGCCGCUCCAAAAAAGAGAAACCCCGCAUCACGAGGCCCAGAUAGGGCUCUAUGCAGCACCUUCGAGCCAUUCUUACAACGGUGCUUUGUUUUUCCUGAGCGAGUCCAGGCCACACAAGGAUUGUAUCAUCCAAGGCGGUGGAGAAAGUGGAUCUCGAGCUCGCACGAUCGGCAUGCGGAAGGAGCCUCUCUUCUGUAACCUCUGCCCAUACACAACGCACUAUACAAACCACUUCAAGGACCACAUGCGGACUCACACUGGAGAGAGGCCCUUCAAGUGCCCAGAGUGUAUUGCCACAUUUGCAACAAGGACCAGCUGUCGGCGCCACUUGCGAACUGUACAUUGAUAAUGUUGACAGCUAGGCGAGUGGUUUGUGUGCAUUGAUACAAAUGGCGCGAUAGGACUGAAUACAAGGUAAGAAAGUGAACUAGACAAGGGCUGACUUGCAACUCAGUUCAUCGAAAAAUGGAAAAAGACCUUGUAUAGUGUACAGCCGGAGUGUCGUGGUACUAUCACGGCCACGAAGAUACAAACAUUCAUUAACAUCAUCAUUUUUGUGUUACAUGUGGAGCACAAAUUUAUUCAUUUUACCCUCCAGUGCGCAGAGCUUGGGGAUAAUUAAGCCCCAUCAGAAAGAUGACUAACAGUCC